AAGAAGACUCAAACCAGAGCCGCUAACUCAUGGACCCUAAGACU
rnacentral:tRNA from 1 species